CCUACGGGAGGCAGCAGUGGGGGAUAUUGCACAAUGGGGGAAACUCUGAUGCAGCGACGCCGCGUGGGUGAAGAAGCGCCUCGGCGCGUAAAGCCCUGUCAGCAGGGAAGAAAACGACGGUACCUGAAGAAGAAGCCCCGGCUAACUACGUGACAGCAGCCGCGGGAAUACGUAGGGGGCAAGCGUUAUCCGGAUUUACGGGGUGUAAAGGGGGCGCAGACGGCGAUGCAAGCCAGAGGUGAAAGCCCGGGGCCCAACCCCGGGACUGAUCUUGGAACUGCGUGGCUAGAGUGCAGUAGGGGCAGGCGGAAUGUCUGGUGUAGCGGUGAAAUGCGUAGAGAUCAGGAGGAACACCGGUGGCGAAGGCGGCCUGCUGGACUGCAACUGACGUUGAGGCCCGAAAGCGUGGGGAGCAAACAGGAGUAGAUACCCUUGUAGUC
rnacentral:rRNA from 1 species